rnacentral:rRNA from 1 species
AUUGAACGCUGGCGGCAGGCCUAACACAUGCAAGUCGAGCGGCAGCGGGAAAGUAGCUUGCUACUUUUGCCGGCGAGCGGCGGACGGGUGAGUAAUGCCUGGGAAAUUGCCCAGUCGAGGGGGAUAACAGUUGGAAACGACUGCUAAUACCGCAUACGCCCUACGGGGGAAAGCAGGGGACCUUCGGGCCUUGCGCGAUUGGAUAUGCCCAGGUGGGAUUAGCUAGUUGGUGAGGUAAUGGCUCACCAAGGCGACGAUCCCUAGCUGGUCGGAGAGGAUGAUCAGCCACACUGGAACUGGGACACGGUCCAGACUCCUACGGGAGGCAGCAGUGGGGAAUAUUGCACAAUGGGGGAAACCCUGAUGCAGCCAUGCCGCGUGUGUGAAGAAGGCCUUCGGGUUGUAAAGCACUUUCAGCGAGGAGGAAAGGUUGAUGCCUAAUACGUAUCAACUGUGACGUUACUCGCAGAAGAAGCACCGGCUAACUCCGUGCCAGCAGCCGCAGUAA